CUACGGGGUGCUCCAGUGGGGAAUCUUGCACAAUGGAGGAAACUCUGAUGCAGCGAUGCCGCGUGAGUGAAGAAGGCCUUUGGGUUGUAAAGCUCUUUUGUAGGGGAAGAUAAUGACUGUACCCUAAGAAUAAGGACCGGCUAACUUCGUGCCAGCAGCCGCGGUAAUACGAAGGGACCUAGCGUAGUUCGGAAUUACUGGGCGUAAAGCGCGCGUAGGCGGUUGAGUUAGUUAAUUGUGAAAUCCCAAAGCUUAACUUUGGAACUGCAAUUAAAACUGCUCGACUAGAGUUUGAUAGAGGAAAGCGGAAUACAUAGUGUAGAGGUGAAAUUCGUAGAUAUUAUGUAGAACACCUGUUGCGAAGGCGGCUUUCUGGAUCAACACUGACGCUAAGGCGCGAAAGUAUGGGUAGCAAAGGGGAUUAGAUACCCGCGUAGUC
rnacentral:rRNA from 1 species